rnacentral:lncRNA from 1 species
AGUUUUAUUUUUGUGCUGAUCAUAAUGAGCAUAACAAAUCAAAUCCAUUGCAUAAAACUAAUUACAGGAAAGAGAACAUGAAAUCCAUUAAAAGCUUAUCAUGUUUACCACAAGUUACCUAAUGAAGACGUGCAGAUGCAGUUCCCAGGAGCACUUCCCAGCUCUGUUCCUGUCAUUUUGAGGAGGGCAGCUGCAUCCCAACACUCUUCCAGUACAACGGGACAUCGGGUACCAGAUUGCUCAUUUCCGGUCGCCUGUGCUACACCAAGCUCAGAAAGGGAAAGCGGAUCACACAGCCACCAUCAGCGCGCUAGAACUCCAAGGAGGAUCUGCGAGCGGCGCGCCAGGCGCCGUCGGAGCAGCCCCUGGUAGCGACAGCCGCCGCGCCGUCGGAGCAGUCCCUGGGAGCCACGGCCAGCCGCUGUCGGAGCAGCCUCUGGGAGCCGGCCGGCCGCCGUCGGAGAGGCCUCUGGGAACUUACCUGUAACUGACUGCGGCUGACGUGUGUGUCCGUGUGCGCGCGUGUGUGUGUGCGUUUCCACUGGCAGUGAUAGUGACAGGUGAACGGUGUUCAUGACCGAUGGCCGGCGGUCUUUGUUGUUAUUCUGAUAAUACGUAUGAUACAUUGUUUUAAUAUGUUUUGUUCUGAAACGUUUCCAAAAACUGAAUCACUUCAUUAUCAUUCUACUUAAUUAAAGCAUGUUUACCAGAUAAAAGGAUUUGCAAAUCAAAGGAAGUAAAAUUGUGUGAAAAUUUACUCAGUUGCGCAGCUAGCCAACACACAUUUGCUACUGUCAGGCCGCUAUGGAACAUGUUCAAAGUAGCUCAACGUAUUGAAUGACUCACUGCUCCCCCCCCCCCCCCCCCGCCAACGUUGGCGCGCAUUGGGCGCAGGCACAAGAGUGGUAUCAACGACCGCCGUCUUGAGCUGCACCAGGGUCUGCUGGCUCUUCGUCAUGUAUGGUGCAUUGUUCAGAUAUCCCCGCUGUACGCUGUACGCUGUACGCCACUGUUUCGUUAUAAUAUUUUCUGCUCGAUUUGUUUGAAAUAUGGAAAUAUGUAUAGACACUGGAUGUGCAAAGCGUCCGUGUAGGACAUCUACUUGUUUCAAACUGUCCCGGAGCAUCCA